CUUACUUGUACACAGACCAUCAAACAUGGUGGCCAAUCUAAUUGUACUGACUGAGGUACCAGUGUGCUUACUUGUACACAGACCAUCAAACAUGGUGGCCAAUCUGAUUGUACUGACUGAGGUACCAGUGUGCUUACUGGUACACAGACCAUCAAACAUGGUGGCCAAUAUGAUUGUACUGACUGAGGUACCAGUGUACUGGUAUAUUUGUUUUGGUUUCAGAAUUAUUCUUUCCAUAACUUUUCUGAUCAUUUGUGGCAGAGCUGUAGUGUGGCGAAGUUAAGAUAGGUUUUAUGAAAACAGGAAUCUGUUUUACGUGUAUAUCUUGGGUUUGUGUGUGUUUUUGGUUCUGUUUUGACCAACUACUUAAUGAUGCUGUGAAUGUCUGCAAGCGAGUCGGCAACGAAUGAGGGCUGUGUCUGAGUAGCUUCAGUAUUAUUUAUUUCUGUACAUACAUAGAUAGAUUUUAACCUUCUCAUGGAUAUAUACAAGAAUAUGCUCCAUUUGUACAAUACUUUGGACAGAAUUUAAUAUAUAUGGGAAAUACAUAUGUGAAUGUCUUGUUAACUGGACAGGUGAAAAUCUUCACACCUGGACAUGUGAAUGUCUUCACACCUGGGCCUGUGAAUGUCUUCACACCUGGACAUGUGGAUGUCUUCACACCUGGGCCUGUGAAUGUUGUGACACCUGGAAAUGUGAAUGUCUUAAUUGCUGGACAUGUGAAUGUCUUCACACCUGGACAUGUGAAUGUCUUCACACCUGGGCCUGUGAAUGUCUUCACACCUGGACAUGUGAAUGUCUUCACACCUGGACAGGUGAAUGUCUUCACACCUGGACAGGUGGAUGUCUUCACACCUGGGCAUGUCAAUAUCUUAACACCUAUUAAUGGUGUAUUGUAUUGUUGAUGCAUAUUGCUUUUAGUCAGUUAAUGUUCCAUCAUUCAUUAUUUCAACGAUUUAAGUUACAAUUUGUUAUCCUGAACAAUUUACCUGCUUCGUUUUGUCAUGUUUAGUUCUUGGGUAUUGUACUCUACUGAAGUACUCUGCUGUAGAAUCUUUUUCAUCGACAUGCCAGCAUGCAUUUCAUUAACUGUAACCAUAGUAACAUGCAUUCUAAAUGCAACAUUAUUUCUUAUCAAGUUAUAUAUCUUAAGGAAAAGAGCACAACCAAGAUUUGCAGGUGAACAUAUUUGAAAUGUGUUUAUUGCUGCAGUUUGAAUUCUACACCUAGAAUGAGUUCCUGUCCAGGCUCCAGUUCACAAAACUAUCAUAGUGCUAUGACUGUCGUAAGUCUAUGUUACAGUAUAGGAGAUUUGACAGUUGUAUCACUACGAUAGCUUUGUGAAACGGGGACCUGGUUCCUUCUGGAACCUGGGUACUCCCAACAGGGUUAGGACAGGUUCACUUUCAUGCUUCACUGUCGAGAUCUGUACUCCCAACAGGGUUAGGACAGGUUCACUUUCAUGCUUCACUGUCUAGAUCUGUACUCCAAACAGGGUUAGGACAGGUUCACUUUCAUGCUUCACUGUCUAGAUCUGUACUCCCAACAGGGUUAGGACAGGUUCACUGACUUGCUUCACUGUCUAGAUCUGUACUCCCAACAGGGUUAGGACAGGUUCACUGACAUGCUUCACUGUCUAGAUCUGUACUCCCAACAGGGUUAGGACAGGUUCACCUUCAUGCUUCACUGUCUAGAUCUGUACUCCCAACAGGGUUAGGACACGUUCACUGUCAUGCUUCACUGUCUAGAUCUGUACUCCCAACAGGGUUAGGACAGGUUCACUUUCAUGCUUCACUGUCUAGAUCUGUACUCCCAACAGGGUUAGGACAGGUUCACUGUCAUGCUUCACUGUCUAGAUCUGUACUCCCAACAGGGUUAGGACAGGUUCACUGUCAUGCUUCACUGUCUAGAUCUGUACUCCCAACAGGGUUAGGACAGGUUCACUGUCAUGCUUCACUGUCUAGAUCUGUACUCCCAACAGGGUUAGGACAGGUUCACCUUCAUGCUUCACUGUCUAGAUCUGUACUCCCAACAGGGUUAGGACAGGUUCACCUUCAUGCUUCCCUGUCUAGAUCUGUACUCCCAACAGGGUUAGGACAGGUUCACUGUCAUGCUUCACUGUCUAGAUCUGUACUCCCAACAGGGUUAGGACAGGUUCACUGACAUGCUUCACUGUCUAGAUCUGUACUCCCAACAGGGUUAGGACAGGUUCACCUUCAUGCUUCACUGUCUAGAUCUGUACUCCCAACAGGGUUAGGACAGGUUCACCAUCAUGCUUCACUGUCUAGAUCUGUACUCCCAACAGGGUUAGGACAGGUUCACCUUCAUGCUUCCCUGUCUAGAUCUGUACUCCCAACAGGGUUAGGACAGGUUCACCAUCAUGCUUCACUGUCUAGAUCUGUACUCCCAACAGGGUUAGGACACGUUCACUGACAUGCUUCACUGUCUAGAUCUGUACUCCCAACAGGGUUAGAACAGGUUCACUGUCAUGCUUCACUGUCUAGAUUUGUACCACAUACGCCUUUCCCUGCACAGACAUGUUCUAUUGGGGAUAAUACUGAUAUCAGUAUUCUCUGUUAACUCCAAACCGCAUAUGUCAAGAAUUAUUAAACAAACAAGCACUUUGUGACUUUGUGAAGAGUUUCAGUUUUUAACCACAGAGUUGCAUUCCGAAAUAAUUUGUACGGAAGCAAGUAUAGUUUCUGUGUUUAGACCAGCACUGCAACAAAAGAUGAGCUCCAAUAUAUUGUCACUUAUUUCCCUAUGCAUCCUGUUACUUCCUCAUCGGUCAUGUUUAUUCAUGUAUAUGGGGAUCAGCUGCUAUAGUUGGCAAACUAAAUCACAUUUUCUGUUCAGAGUUGAAAGGGGUGUACUUAAUGCAUCUGAAAGGACAGAUUUGGAUAACGAGGUAAAUAUUUUAUGCAUGUCAGUAGAAGGGAGCUAGUGUGCCGGCGAGCGGGCGUACGUGUUUUUAUUUAGCUCUCUCUGAGACGUGUUGGCACUUUCAGCACUGUAUUCCUGUCAUUGGUUUCCAUGGCAAUCCUUGGUUUGCCAGCACCAUGACCAGGUGCUGAACAUCUCUGGUUUGCAUCACUUGGACCUUCUGCUGACAUUAAACCUACAGUGAUAUUACAGUUCACUUUCUGUCAAACCGGUCUUCUCAAUAUAGGGUGUGAUUCAAAUGCAGCAAUAAAACAAGAAAAUGUUAAAACCUUUACAUUUCGGCCAAAUUUUCAUAUUGAUGGAACUCCAAUCAAUUUUACUACCUUCUCUGCUUAAAUAGGAUUUGAUCAUUACUCCCUGGUGCAACUGGAACUUUAACCCAUACUGACAAAGUUAACCUCUGUAAGGAUCGCUUCAAGCUCAAGCUGGCCUGCUGAACAGCCAGGGAUGUGUUUAACAUGGGCCUCAACUUCAGGACUAAUCUUAUAAGAACAUGGCCUCAUGUUUUGUGAGGCUCAUCACAAAAACAUUGUUUGCAUAUAGCAGUACUAGUAAAUAUAUUAUGUGUUGUCAAAAUAUAUUCCUGUCAGUAUUUAUCCUUACAGAAUUGAAUACACUGGAAAAUCCUGUAUCUGUUUGAAGUGACUGAAUAUUGUGACAUGUUGAACACAUCCCUGGUUGUCAUAUGGUCAGGGAUCCCUUACUGGCAGUCAUGUUAUCACAAGCUUAGAUUUCUGCAUUUAUUCGUAAUUUUUUUCUUCAUGGACAGUUGUUAUUUUAGCCACAUUGCUUUCUGAAGUCUUUCAAUCCAACAUGCAAUGUUGAUUUUAUGAACUUGUUGACAGUGCAGUGACCAUGAUAGUUCACUUCACUAGCUGUCCCUAUCUCCCCUGUGUAGAGGAAUAGCGACCUCGUCCUGUACAGGUAGUCUCACGAUUCUGUCAACAAAUAGCAGUUGUUGAGACAGUAGUAUUUUGCGUAGCUCUAUGUUCUGCAACAUGUUCUUGACACUGUUAGUGUGACCAUCAACCUGUGUUUGAAUAUCACAUCAUGGUCUGUGAAUAAAACUAUUACAAUCUC